rnacentral:rRNA from 1 species
AUUCCAGCUCCAAUAGCGUAUAUUAAAGUUGUUGCAGUUAAAAAGCUCGUAGUUGGAUUUUGGACAUCGUCUGUCGGUCCGCCUUAACGGUGAGCACUGACGGGUGGAGUCUUCCGGCUGAAGGCUAUCUGUGCUCUUCAUUGGGUGUAGGUAGAAUUCAGCCCAUUUACUUUGAAAAAAUUAGAGUGUUCAAAGCAGGCCUUUGGCUUGAAUACAUUAGCAUGGAAUAACAGAAUAGGACUUUGGUUCUAUUUUGUUGGUUUCUAGGACCGAAGUAAUGAUUAAUAGGGAUAGUUGGGGGCAUUAAUAUUUAAUUGUCGGAGGUGAAAUUCUUUGAUUUAUGAAAGAUUAACUUCUGCGAAAGCAUUUGCCAAGGAUGUUUUCAUUA